GACCAGCAGCCAUUUGUUGAUUUUCUUUUUAAGCCUGAUUGGGUUAGACUGAGAAUUCUUGAUCAAUUUGCUCAAAAACUAUACUCAACUUCUGAUACUGGCUAUCAAAUUUAGGUCGGAUAAUAUUUUUACUCUUUAACAGUGAAUAGAGUGAUAAUAUUCUAGUCAUUUUUGAAAAGAGAAUAAUUGACCUAUUAGUAUAUGAACUAUUUUAAACCUAAGGAC
rnacentral:lncRNA from 1 species